CAUAAUAAAUGUUUCAAGGGAAAAUUGUAAUUUAUGUACCUCACAAAUAUGUCAAUUAUAUUAUCAAUGUCAUUUUUGUAUUAUUAGUGGUAUAAAU